rnacentral:rRNA from 1 species
UACCAGUUCUCCGAGUGGUAGGGAUGAUUAUUGGGCUUAAAGCGUCCGUAGCCGGCUUAGCAAGUCUCCUGUUAAAUUCAGCGACCUAAUCGUUGAGCCGCGGGAGAUACUACUAGGCUAGGAGGCGGGAGAGGUCAACGGUACUUCCGGGGUAGGGGUGAAAUCCUAUAAUCCCGGGAGGACCACCAGUGGCGAAGGCUGUUGACUAGAACGCGCUCGACGGUGAGGGACGAAAGCUGGGGGAGCGAACCGGAUUAGAUACCCGGGUAGUCCCAGCUGUAAACGAUGCGAGCUAGGUGUUGGGGUGGCUACGUGCCACUUCAGUGCCGCAGGGAAGCCAUUAAGCUCGCCGCCUGGGGAGUACGGCCGCAAGGCUGAAACUUAAAGGAAUUGGCGGGGGAGCACCACAAGGCGUGAAGCUUGCGGUUC